rnacentral:rRNA from 1 species
AGAGUUUGAUCCUGGCUCAGGAUGAACGCUGGCGGCGUGCCUAACACAUGCAAGUCGAGCGAUUUACUUCGGUAAAGAGCGGCGGACGGGUGAGUAACGCGUGGGUAACCUGCCCUGUACACACGGAUAACAUACCGAAAGGUAUGCUAAUACGAGAUAAUAUGCUUUUAUCGCAUGGUAGAAGUAUCAAAGCUUUUGCGGUACAGGAUGGACCCGCGUCUGAUUAGCUAGUUGGUAAGGUGACGGCUUACCAAGGCGACGAUCAGUAGCCGACCUGAGAGGGUGAUCGGCCACAUUGGAACUGAGACACGGUCCAAACUCCUACGGGAGGCAGCAGUGGGGAAUAUUGCACAAUGGGCGAAAGCCUGAUGCAGCAACGCCGCGUGAGCGAUGAAGGCCUUCGGGUCGUAAAGCUCUGUCCUCAAGGAAGAUAAUGACGGUACUUGAGGAGGAAGCCCCGG